rnacentral:RNase_P_RNA from 1 species
AAUUGGCAACGGACGGCCGCUCUCUUCGGAGGGAGGAAAGUCCGGACACCACAGAGCGGAAAGUCCAGUUGAAAAGCUGGAGGGCCUGGACCAUAUUCCAGGCGCAGGAAAGUGCCACAGAAAACGAACCGCCCGGUGAUUUUUUUCGCCAGGUAAGGGUGAAAAGGUGGGGUAAGAGCCCACCGCAUCCCUGGGUAACCAGGAUGGCAGGGUAAACCCCUUUCGGUGCAAGACCAAAUAGGGAACGAGGCGCUGCUCGUGCCGCGCCGGCAUGCGUGUCGGCUAAGUUCCGGGUAUCGGUCGCUUAGAUGAAUGGUCGUCCUGGGGAAUUUUAUUUCCCAGACAGAAUCCGGCUUAUAGUUGCCAAUUGCGU